rnacentral:misc_RNA from 1 species
GAUGAAGAACGUAGCGAAAUGCGAUAAGUAAUGUGAAUUGCAGAAUUCAGUGAAUCAUCGAAUCUUUGAACGCAUCUUGCGCUCCUUGGUAUUCUGAGGAGCAUGCCUGUUUGAGUGUCAUUAAAUUCUCAACUACACUGACUUUGAAUUGGUGUGGCUUGGAUUUGGGGGGAAAAUUGUUGUGGGCUUUUUGUAUAGUCUGCUCCCCUGAAAUUGAUUGGCGGUACCUUUGUGGAACUGUCUACAGGUGUGAUAAUUAUCUACAUCUUAGACAUCUGCUGGAAUGCUGCUUUCUAAACCUUACUUGUAUUGACAAUCUUGACCUCAAAUCAGGUAGGACUACCCGCUGAACUUAAGCAUAUCAAUAAGCGGAGGA